AAACUUCCCUCUAGAAAUUCUGAAUCCGCCACUGAAGAUGCAGUUUCUGUACCUGCAGCUCAUAUUGAUGGCAAUAAUUCUUCAGUUAAAGUUGAAGAAGAUGAAUGCUGUGUGGAUGCAUGUGGGGAACUGCUAAUUAAAUCUAGCGCUUGUGUCAUUAAUUGUAGUGAAGAUUCCAAAUUGAUAUCAACAGAUGCUGGAAUAUGUCAAAAGGGUAGCGGUGGCUGUGGACCUUGGGCUGCUAUGGAUAAUUCCUCUACAUUUGCAAAAGGAGGGAAGGGAAGUCUUAACACUGGAAGCGUGAAACUAGACAAUUCGGACACUCAUUUUGUGUGUAGAAGCUCAAGCUCCCUGGGUGCUACUGAGGAGUUGGAUGCCAAAGUGGAGGGUGAUGAUGGAAUGGUUGAACAUAACUGGCCUACUUGUUCGAGCAUGACUGAGUCUUCAAAUGGCUCUGGUUCAAUGAUUCAUGGCAGUGCAUCAAGCUCACCAAGCUAUGAGGAGGAGAAGCAUUCAAAAGUCAAAUGUGAUGAUCAUGGAUCGAAAAUUACUGUGAAAGCCACAUAUAAGGAAGAUACAAUUAGAUUUAAGUUUGAGCCUUCUGCAGGGUGUUUCCAAUUGUAUGAAGAAAUUGCAAAAAGGUUCAAAUUGCAAAAUGGAACAUUCCAGCUAAAGUAUCUUGAUGAUGAAGAAGAGUGGGUGAUGCUGGUGAGUGACUCUGACUUGCAGGAGUGUGUUGAGAUACUGGAUUAUAUUGGAAAACGAAGUGUGAAGUUCCUUGUUCGUGACGUAGCUUUUACAAUGGGCAGCUCGGGCAGCAGCAGUUGCUUCUUAGGAGGAAGCUCCUAGCACUUCAGGUGAUGGCUCAACCAACAGUCUAGCUGAAGCGGUAGCAAUUGCAGUUUUCUGAGUGCUCAUUAAGCUUUCCAAGUUUGCAUGAUUCUGGUUUCUACUAAAAGUUGAUGUUGUACUAUGAAGGUUGCAAGGGAAGUGUAAGAUGGCCAAAAUUUCUCAGCAGCACAGCCAAAAAUUUUCAGAACCAAUCAAAGGAGGUGACACCUUUGUUUAUGGGCGAAUAUAUGACCGGUGGUUCAAAACAGUGAGACUGAAAGUUCAGCAGCUUUUUUCUCUGAUUGGUUAUUAUAGUUCCAGGGAUGGAGGAAAAGACAGGAAAUAAAGCAGAUUCAGAAGUUCCAUAGCUCAUUAGAUGUUAGAUAUAUAGGCUUGUACAUGCUAGUUGUAGCCAAAAAUGCUUGUAGCCGUAGNNNNNNNNNNNNNAUCCUUGAAGCACUGUAUUCUAUGUUCUAGUCUGUACAGUAAUUUACAUAUUAAUUAAUUGGAGAAAAUAGGAAAAGUUUUAAUAUAAAUUACUGUACAGACUAGAACAUAGAA
rnacentral:misc_RNA from 1 species